UUUCUCUUGGAUUAGCAAAAUUUGGAUUCUACAUACCUUUUGUGCAUAUGAUGAAACUUGCAGGUGAUUUGGGUAUUCCUUUGGAAAAAGCAUCCUAUAUUAUGGUAGGACUUGGAGUAAGCAGCAUGAUUAGUUCUCUUCUGUUUGGAAAAAUUUGUGAUAUUGAAAAUAUCGACCGACUUUAUAUUAAUCAGGCAUCCAUAUUAUCUGUUGGUGUGGUCUACUUUAUUAUUCCUCAUUGCACA
rnacentral:lncRNA from 1 species